rnacentral:rRNA from 1 species
AUGAGCACGAUGGUUGGGUUUUCUACAAGUGCAGCAAGCACUCUGUGCAGCAGAGGACAGGGGGGAGAACUUGAGAGGAAGAGGAGUGAAUCAAUGGAAGGAAGAAGCAUAAGUGGAAGAGGCAUAGCUGGAAGAGGCAUUGCAAGCAGAGUUAAUUUUGGCAGCCCUAGUGAGCAGAACGUUUCUACCAAGCAGCAAGCUACUGUGCUGCUUGGAUUGGGUAGAGAGAUCCUUCUAGUGCUGGAGCUGGUGAUGGCUAGUGUUAUGGUGCUUUAUGUGCCGUGUUUCAUCUUAAUUAUGAACAACUGA